CAGAAAAGAGCAGCCAAAGACUCUGUUCUCAUGCAUCAUGAUCCCCUGGUGUCCGGAGGAUGGUGUGUGAAUUUUCCUUCCCUUUGUCUCCACAUCUCAUUGGUCUCUCGAACAGAAGACCAGGGAGCCAAGGGGACCGCAGAUGGAUGGCAGAAGCUGAGUAAGAGAUGGAGUUGGGUGCCGAGAGAAAGUUCAGAGAUGGUGUCCUCAGGAGUUUCCUAGGAGGUGUCAUGAACUCUGAGAUACCCAGCCCUCACCCUUCCUUCUCACAAUGCAAGAAAAUCUGAAACUUAAUACUAUGGUGCAUAGAUUUUUUUUUUUUAAUGAAAAUGUGAAGAUAGCUGACUUGGAUCACACAAGCAACUGGCUGUACUCUGGGCUUCACCAAAGCACGUUGUUGACACUGUUUUCAAGACAGCCAAGCAUCUGACAUUUCUCAAGCUCCAGUUGCCUCCCAGGCUCGAACCUGGGCAUGAGAGCCACAGGCCGGCCCCAACAGUUCCAUUUCCUGCCUCAGCUAUUAAACUAUGAGUUUCCUGAAGACAAGAGACUUCUUUCUCCUUUGCCCCCCAGGACUUACUGCCUCCGUGGUAUAAGCGUUCAAAACUACACGCUGAAUGAAUGAACGAAGCAUGUUUACAACAGGAGUCUGUAUUAUCCAGAGGAUUUUCGAGGUAUAGAGUGCUAAGCAUCCCAUUAAGACAUAUAAAGAGGCCCAAGGGUAAUCAUUUUUUGAAAAGAGUUAAAAAUUAUUUAAAAAAAUAAUUAUGUGUACAUGUAUGUCUACAGGUAUGUGCAGAUGUAGUUCAUCAUCAGAGUCUGUCCUGGUUAACUCCCAUUAUCAACUUGACACAACCCAGAGUCAUUUGAAGGAGUCUCAAUUGGGGGAUUGCCCAGAUCAGAUUGGCUUGUGGCAGUAUUAAUGAUUGACGUGAAAGGCCCUGCCCACUGCAGGUGGUGCUAUCCCUUGGCAGGUGGUCCUGGGAUUUAUAGUCCAGAGGUGGACCAAGGCUGCGUCUCAAUCUGCCAGCUAAAGUUGUUAAUAUAUAAGUGUCUCCCACAUGAUUCUGGCUUUGGCCACAUGAAAGUUGCAGGAUUGCAGGGGUCACAGAAAGAAGCUGAGGCUUGGCAGCAUGUGUCAAGGUUGGAGUCCCUGAAGAAAGGCCAGAAGUCACCGAUCUUCACCAAUGCAGCCUCAGGUACAGUGGAGACCUUAGCAUACUGGGGACACCAGGACUAAAGGAUGAUCACUGAGGACUUCGGCAGAUGUAGCGUAGAGCCCAUCUGAACCUGUGAGUCAAGCCGUGUGCUGUGAGCAGCAGAACUGGAGAGGUGGGGCUGUCCAAGCCCAGUGGAGCCCAGAAGAUUGUAGUUGAACAGAGAAUCAGAGAGGAAGACAGUAAGCGGUGCCCUGCACAGUCUCUGCUUCAGUUCCUGCUUGACCUCCUGCCUUAGCUUCCUUGACGAUGGACUGUACCCUUAAAUAAAGUAAGCCCUUUCUUGCCCUAAGUUGUUUUUGGUCAGUGUUUGACCAGAAAGCAAGCUAGAGCAGAUCCAUUGGCGCCGGAGUGAGAAGCAGUUAUGAGCCAGUCAGCAGGUGCAUGGUAAACGGAAUUCAGGUCCUCUUCAGAACAGUAAGGGCUCUUAACUAUUGAGCUGUUUCUCCAGCUUCCAAGAAGGCACCUGAAAGUCUAGAGACACGCAGUCUCAUACUCAGGAGCAGACAGAAAGAACAAUCGCAUUAGAUAUACAGAAUUUCACAGUGGACAAAUGGAUCAAUGUUUUCCACUGCUCUUAAGCAAAGCCUAUCAACAGAUGAGCCACUUUUCAGAUUUACACUGUUGGAUACACAGCAGAGCUUUUAAAUAGUCCUGUGCUCGCUUUAUUGUUACUGAACUUAUAGCGGUGUACGAGUGCCUGUUUCCAUAAGACAACAAAAGAACUUUACAUUUGGAUGUCACCAUGGACCACAUUUUAUAUCCUGCUGAGGCUGCUAACUCACAUUAUGGCUCUUGGUAUAUACGGUUGUCACAUUAUGCUUACAGAGCUUGACUGUGUCACCAUUUGUUUUGAUCUCUAUAAUAGCUCAAAAAAUUGAGGAACCACACCGUUAGAUGGAAGACAAGAACAAGCUGACUAAUGUGUGGUAUGAAUUGUUGCUACAAUUGAUGGGAGAAGACAAUCACGUCCUACAACAGGGCUCUGGGACUUUCAUUGUUUUGUUUGUUUGUUUGUUUGUAUGGUUUGGUUUUUGAGAUAGGUCUCUCCCAGGCUGGCCUCAAAC